GACGAACGCUGGCGGCGUGCCUAAUACAUGCAAGUAGAACGCUGAAGGAGGAGCUUGCUUCUCUGGAUGAGUUGCGAACGGGUGAGUAACGCGUAGGUAACCUGCCUGGUAGCGGGGGAUAACUAUUGGAAACGAUAGCUAAUACCGCAUAAGAGUAGAUGUCGCAUGACAUUUGCUUAAAAGGUGCAAUUGCAUCACUACCAGAUGGACCUGCGUUGUAUUAGCUAGUUGGUGAGGUCACGGCUCACCAAGGCAACGAUACAUAGCCGACCCGAGAGGGGGGUCGGCCACACUGGGACUGGGACACGGCCCAGACUCCUUCGGGAGGCAGCCGUAGGGAAUCUUCGGCCAUGGGCGGAAGUCUUACCGAGCAACGCCGCGUGAGUGAAGAAGGGUUUCGGAUCGUAAAGCUCUGUUGUAAGAGAAGAACGAGUGUGAGAGUGGAAAGUUCACACUGUGACGGUAUCUUACCAGAAAGGGACGGCUAACUACGUG
rnacentral:rRNA from 1 species